AAUUUUUGACACUGGGCGCAAGCCUGAUCCAGCAAUGCAGCGCGCAGGAUGAAGGCCUUCGGGUUGCAUACUGAGUUUGUACAGAACGAACAGUUACGCGUUCAAAGCCGGGGAUCAUGUCGGCACCGUAAGAAUAAGCACCGGCUAACUACGUGCCAGCAGCCGCGGUAAUACGUAGGGUGCAAGCGUUAAUCGGAAUUACUGGGCGUAAAGCGUGCUCAGGCGGUGUUGUAAGACAGUGGUGAAAUCACCGGGCUCAACCUGGGAACUGCCAUUGUGACUGCAAGGCUGGAGUGCGGCAGAGGGGGGUGGAAUUCCGCGUGUAGCAGUGAAAUGCGUAGAUAUGCGGAGGAACACCGGUGGCGAAGGCAAUCCCCUGGGCCUGCACUGACGCUCAUGCACGAAAGCGUGGGGAGCAAACAGG
rnacentral:rRNA from 1 species